GGCUCUGUCAGAGUAGAAACCUGUAGCGUGGCAGCUGACUGGAGAGGAGGGAGUCUUCUGGAGGAGAGACACUGAGGGAAGGUCUGGAGAGAGAGAGAGAGAGAGAGAGAGAGAGAGAGAGAGAGAGAGAGAGAGAGAGAGAGAGAGAGAGAGAGAGAGA